GUGCCAGCAGCCGCGGUAAUACAGAGGGGGCAAGCGUUGUUCGGAAUUACUGGGCGUAAAGGGCGCGUAGGCGGCCUGUUAAGUCAGACGUGAAAUCCCUCGGCUCAACCGGGGAACUGCGUCUGAUACUGGCGGGCUUGAAUUCGGGAGAGGGAUGUGGAAUUCCAGGUGUAGCGGUGAAAUGCGUAGAUAUCUGGAGGAACACCGGUGGCGAAGGCGGCAUCCUGGACCGACAUUGACGCUGAGGCGCGAAAGCCAGGGGAGCAAACGGGAUUAGAAACCCUUGUAGUCC
rnacentral:rRNA from 1 species